GUCAGGAUGCCUGGGAAAUCUAACGGGUUUUGCCUGUCAGAUUCCUAACUUGGCUGGGCUUGGCCUAGCGCUCUCAAAACUGACCUUUUCUGGCGGUCUUAGGACCCAUUCGUGGACUCUCUCCUCCGUCGUCUGUACCUUUCUCCACAGUCGCUGAAACAUCAGCAGCCAUGGGUACCACAGCAUCUGUAAUGUGCUGCCCAGCAGCUGUGUGUUCCUUGUGCUCUGGAGAGGAGUACACAGAGGAGGUUCAAAGAAGAAUGUUGGAAUGGUACAUGCACAACAUGCCAAAGAGCAGCUUUGUGGGGUGCCUGCAAAGAGCUGGUGAGGUUUAUGCAGAGAAUAUAUUAAUCACCUUUCAGAAGCUGCAAGCAAAAAUCAUAAAAAAGGAGCUGGCAAAUACACGAUGCCAGAUGGUGGCUGACAUAACCAUCCUGUUCCUCAAGAGAA